rnacentral:tRNA from 1 species
GGGGGCAGCUCAGUGGUAGAGUGUGUGCUCAGCAUGCACAGGGUCCUGGGUUCAAUCCCCAGUGCCUCCA